ensembl:scaRNA small Cajal body-specific RNA 6
GGUCAGUGAUGAACAGUAAAAGGUCUGAUUACCCACAGUCCUCUCCUCCUGCCCGCUGGCUCCUAGCAGCUUCUGCUCACAUCUCUCACCAUGCUAAAGUAGUGCACCGGUGGUUCCACAAGCUGCUGACAUACAGGAAGUGACAUCACUGUGUGGGUCUGUACCAAGAUACUACAGACUCAUUGAUGACUGACAUCCAACAGAACCAUUCACUAUGGAGUGUCAGGCGAAGGAGAAGGAGGGAGCUGAUCUCAAGUUUUCAAACUGAGACC